ACCUAGUGCCUCUCCCGACUGGCCGUCUCCACUGAUUUCGAUCAGCCGUCAGCUGCCUGCCUCGCUGUCGCGGCUUCGCUGGCCCCUCCCGGCCGCCCGGAGCCACCGCCCUGGUCUGACGCCAACGGGCUGCGGCCUGCCCCGCCCGGCUAGCUGCUGUUCGCGCAGGGGCUCCCAGCUGCCGCAGCUAGUGCCUAGUCUCGGCCGCUCAACCCGUUGCCUUUUUCUGAGAGAGCUGUGGCGCGUGUAGAGCAAACUGCAUUCAGUAGUGGUAUGCUCCUUGGCUCUUCACAUCCAUCCCGCUCCUUGGCAGGUUGGCUUCACUGGAGGCGUGUAGCAGCCACGGUUUCAACCCAAUUUCAAACAAAGAGGCAUAUAUAUCAUAAUUUGGUGUGCUUGCUUCUAGACUUAUUAUUGCUUCAGCCGGCGGCGACGAUAAGUGUUGAUUUUCUACCAUGAGUUUACUCAAGAGCAAGUUUAGAAAAAGACAUAAUUAAGAAUUGCAGUGGACCACCCUGGUCUAAAAUCCUAGAUCCGCCACUGAGUCCAUCCACCAGUGGAAAAAAGGUUGAUCCACCAUCCUCCAGACUUGUUGGAGGCAAAGUUCCUCUUCCUGAUUUUCUUCUUUAAAAUCUGCUGCAUCAUCAAUUGGCAAAGAAGCAUGGAAAAGAAACUGUUAACAUUAAUUAUCUCUCUUGGAGUAGUUCUUGUGCUACUGAAAGCAGUAGUAGCUACUGUUAUUUUUUUGCACAUGAAGCCUCAGUAAUGCAGUAGCUUAAUUUCGGAAGAAAAUGAAGUAUAGUAUUGUUUUGGUUGCAGUAGUUUUUCAGUAUACCAAAUUUGGUGGUAUUCAGUGCAAUUCUAAUGGGUCUUCUCUUCUUGCUGCUGAAUUCUAAAUUCUGAAUUGUGAAUUCCGUUGACCAGCUCCGCUGGUCGCCGGGCUUCUGGUGAAGAUCUUCAUGUGGGUCCUGGAGAUGCCGGUGGUGGGCUGGGUCCUGCUCUACAUCCUAAAGAAGGACAAUCUCAUCAACAAGCUUGUCUCCGAAGCUGAGAUCCCCGAGCCGCCACUGUUUACCUCGACCCACCGCUGGGAAGACACCCCGGAGCAGAACGUCAGCCUGACGAAGCCCGGCCUGUCGACGGCCGAGCGUGUCCGGGAGGCCAUCGACUGCCUCCCCGCGCGCCAAAUCAGAUUCAAUAAUUUGGUUGAAAAGGGACGGCAUGCUGAGGUGUACAAAGGACAGCUUGCUGAUGGACAGUUUGUGGCAGUGAAGGGGUUAACAAAAAUACUUAACCAAGCAUGCUGAGGUGAGAGACCUGAUAUUAUUGAUUAGCGCUUGUACUCCAACUUGUAUUCCAACAUGUUUGGUUUCCUUUUUGUAUUCCAACAUGCAGCAGAAACUGCACAAGAAUGUGCAUACAAACAUGGCAGCAUUUGUAGCCCAGGACCUGUAAUUUUAGUUAGUUAGCUACAGUGUUACCAAUGUUCAGUUUAGUGAGCACAUUUAGUCAAUGGCUGAUGUCAAAGAUUUUAUGCUGUAUUUAGUGAGCACAUUUGUUAACACUAGAUCAGUGUUAACUGAAUUACUCCAUUUAGUGAGCACAGGAGCAUCAAUAGCAAGUGUAGCAAGUGUGCUCCUGCUUGAGUAAACGAACUAAAACUUUUUUAGUUAAUUUUAAUUAACUGAAACUUGUUUUUUAAUUUAAAACUAAAUGAUUUUUCAGUACAUGAACUUGAGUUAACUAACAUUAAAUGAAUUGUAGCAGGAGUACCCUCCUUCUCUUGACUUCUCUUCUCUUAAAAUGAACUUGAGUUAACUAAAAUCAAAUGAAUUGUAGUAGAAGUAGAAGAUAUUAAAAUUCAGCAAAGUGCUUUCAAAAGCACUUAACUGAAUUUUUAUGCACCUAUGUGCAUUAAUAUUCAGCAAAGUGCUUUUGGAAUCACUUAACUGAAUUUUUAUGCCAAGUGCUUUCAAAAGCACUUAACUGACAACAACAAUAACAAAGUUAAAGGAAAGGAAGAUGGUUGUACUCACAACAGUACACCACUGCUCUACACUACAGCUUGCUGCAUCACAGCCCUCUCACACAAUGCCAGAAGAUACAAAGUUAAAAAAAGGUACUCCGGGAUAAUAAUCCAGUAAGUUUCUUCUAGUGUUGAUCUUGCUUUGUCAAUGUUUAUUCCAAUGCUAUGACCACUGUGUUUAUUCCAAUACUGUUAAAAAAAGGUACACCAGAAGAUACAAAGUUAAAAAAAGGUACUCCAAUGCUAUGUUUAUCUGUUGACCACUGUAUUAAAACCUGUAGGAUAUCUAGCCUCAAAUGUUAUGACCAAGACCAACUAACAAAAGCCUGAAACUGAAUCUUGAUACUCCUGCUACGAAUACAAUCAAGCCGAGAAAAUAAAUGUGUUGUCCAUAUGACAUUUCACUAUUUUCAGUUCCAGAAAUACACAUUGAUGGACUAUGUCUAGUGUUUUUGUUUACUGAAUUUCAUUUUGUUGUUUUAUUGUGUCUCCCAUUCUCUUUACCGUGCCUAAUUGGACAUGCUUACUCUUGAUUAUGCUCCGGUUUAGGUCCUGGUUGGUACUGCCAGCAGUCUUGCCGGUCCAAGCAAUCAAGAUCAUCAGCAAGUCAAUAACGGAGACGGUCGAGCACUGUCAUCACACUGAACCUGCAACACCAGUGAGAUGACUGAAGAUUGGGUUGUGGUUGGAAUGAGAGGAGAAGCAAAUCACUUGACCAGUUGAAUCCUUGGGUGUACAAGACGGCCGAGCUGUGGCAGGUGAAGGAGCCGCUGCCGCUGCCCGCGCCGAAGAAGCGCAACUACUCCAUGGUGUUCACCCUCAAGGAGAUGGAGGAGGCCACCGGCAUGUUCAGCGACAAGAACCUCAUCGGCAAGGGCGGCUUCGUCCGGGUUUACAGGGGCGUGCUCAAAGAUGGGCAGAUUCUCUUGAUUGGAGUGGAGAGGAGCAGAGACGAGAGGAGCAGCAGAAGUGGACAGCGCAGCGGCUGACCUUGAGCUCUUGAUUGGAGUGGGGGGAGGCGGCCGCCGAAGGAUCUGUAGCCAGCAGCGAAGGAUCCGAAGUUGUGGCAGAGCAGGCAGCCGGUGAGAAGGGCGGCCGGCGAGGGAGCUGCGGAUCUUGGCGCGGAAGGGCGGCCGAUGAGGGAGCUGCGGACCACGGCGGGGAAGGGCGGCCGGCCGGCGAGGGAGCUGCGGACCGCGGCAGGGAAGGACGCUGGAGAUGCGGAUGACGGAGGAGCCCGGCGAAAGGGAGCAGCGACGGCGGAGAAGCCUGGCGGAGUGGAGGAGCGACGGAGGAAGACGCCUCCCGAUGGAUUUCAAAUCGGGGGUAGUAUUGUACUUUCACACUAUUUCACCUAGUCGGAAUGAUGCCCCCAACGACAAUUAUUUCGGAACGGAGGGAGUAGCUUUUAUUUGGACCAAGCAUCUCAUGUCUCUUUGCUCA